GACCUCCAGUUCCCUUUCUUAUUGGAUCUUAAUACUGACCUUUAUGGUUGUAAAAAAAGGAAUAGUAAAUAAUGAAACUGGCCUCACAGGACUCAUAGUCUGCCAUGUAGCACAUGGACUCAUUUCAAACAAGG